AAUACCCCAGGUCAGG
rnacentral:rRNA from 1 species